GAUGAACGCUGCCGGCGUGCUUAACACAUGCAAGUCGAACGAUGAGGCCCAGCUUGCUGGGCGGAUUAGUGGCGAACGGGUGAGUAACACGUGAGUAACCUGCCCCCGACUCUGGGAUAAGCCCGGGAAACUGGGUCUAAUACCGGAUAUUCACUUCCUUCCGCAUGGAGGGUGGUGGAAAGGUCUUUUCCGGUCGGGGAUGGACUCGCGGCCUAUCAGCUUGUUGGUGGGGUAGUGGCCCACCAAGGCGACGACGGGUAGCCGGCCUGAGAGGGUGACCGGCCACACUGGGACUGAGACACGGCCCAGACUCCUACGGGAGGCAGCAGUGGGGAAUAUUGCACAAUGGGCGCAAGCCUGAUGCAGCGACGCCGCGUGAGGGAUGACGGCCUUCGGGUUGUAAACCUCUUUCAGUAGGGAAGAAGCGAAAGUGACGGUACCUGCAGAAGAAGCGCCGGCUAACUACGUGCCAGCAGCCGCGGUAAUACGUAGGGCGCAAGCGUUAUCCGGAAUUAUUGGGCGUAAAGAGCUCGUAGGCGGUUUGUCGCGUCUGCCGUGAAAGUCCGGGGCUCAACCCCGGAUCUGCGGUGGGUACGGGCAGACUUGAGUGCAGUAGGGGAGAUUGGAAUUCCUGGUGUAGCGGUGAAAUGCGCAGAUAUCAGGAGGAACACCGAUGGCGAAGGCAGGUCUCUGGGCUGUAACUGACGCUGAGGAGCGAAAGCAUGGGGAGCGAACAGGAUUAGAUACCCUGGUAGUCCAUGCCGUAAACGUUGGGCACUAGGUGUGGGGGACAUUCCACGUUUUCCGCGCCGUAGCUAACGCAUUAAGUGCCCCGCCUGGGGAGUACGGCCGCAAGGCUAAA
rnacentral:rRNA from 1 species